GCCUGGCUGGCUCAGUCAGUAGAGCAUGUGACUCUUGAUCUUGGGGUCCUGAGUUCAAGCCCCGUGUCGGGCA
rnacentral:tRNA from 1 species